rnacentral:rRNA from 1 species
UACGUAGGGUGCGAGCGUUGUCCGGAAUUAUUGGGCGUAAAGAGCUCGUAGGCGGUUUGUCGCGUCUGCUGUGAAAACCUGAGGCUCAACCUCGGGCUUGCAGUGGGUACGGGCAGACUAGAGUGCGGUAGGGGUGACUGGAAUUCCUGGUGUAGCGGUGGAAUGCGCAGAUAUCAGGAGGAACACCGAUGGCGAAGGCAGGUCACUGGGCCGCAACUGACGCU